CUCACUUAUGUGCUUUUGCCUCUUAGAAACUUGAUGUUAGAGUUGCAAGCGGCCAAGCAAGAUGUUUGAGGAGUAGAUCAUUGUCGCACAACUAUUGUUGCGAAAAUUGGUGCGGGAUCUCCUUAUGGCCCAUGCUAAUCCCAUGAGGUUGAAGUACCUUGCAAAUUGCUUUGAAUCCUCAUUCAGAAACAUCUUGUUUGCAAGUAGCUACUUGUCAUUUGUGAAAUGCGAAAACGAUCUAUGAAAGAAUGUUUAACAAAGACAGGUAAUGAAAUUCGUGCAUUGGCCUUGAGUCACAAGGAACACAAUAAUUGUUUCUACUUAGGCACACCAUGAAGAAAUCAUCCAAAAUCUUUAUAAAUCAUAUUUAGUUACUAUGAAGGAAUUAUGCAUUUGAGAAUUAUCAGGUACCGAGGAUUGGUUUUUUUUUUCUUGCCUAUUUUUUUCCUAAUGAUUUACUUUAUGCUUGCCAUAUUUCAACCAAGUAUAUGCUACUCAACAAAGGUGGAACGAGUAAGGGUCAAUUUAGUUAGUUUUGCUUCAUGAGAUGGAUUUAAUACGAAAGGUAUGACUCACUGGAAAAUAGCUUUCUAAUUGAGGAUCGAAACAUAUUUUAUAGCAUAUACAUACAAUGAAUCCUUUAAACUUAACUACUUUUUGUUUAUGCUUUAUGUGCAUGCAUUAUGGUAAACUUUUAAAAAAAUCCCUUGAUUUUCUUGUAGUUGAAUUAUUUUUCAUGUUUUUGAAUGGUGAGUUUAACAUUUAUUUUAGGAUUGUUCCACUUUAUAAAAGGGUUUCUAUUGAUCAUAUCCCAAUACCUUCAUCUCCUUACACACCAUAUUUGUAUUUCUUUCUCAAAGCUCCAAGUGUCAUGCUCCAAGGGUGUGUGUGAAAGCCAAGAAUUUGAACAUAUCCUUAUGAGAUGUGGCAGAUGUUCGUUGGAGCUUUUAUCUUAAAUUCAUUAUAAUCCCUAUCUAUAUAUAAAAGAUAUGUAUUGUGUAUGGGGAAUGGAGAACUGUGGAAAAAGGCUUACAAUGUACUUGAGCUCUCUCGCAAAUAGGUGAUUUGCGAAGAGAAAUACUUAAAUAUUUUGGGAAGCCAACGACAACAAAUUCCCCAAAACAAACUUGGUGAUGAAUGAGUCCCACCUUCUUUUGAAAUCAAAUCCAUAUAUGAGGUCAGGUAUGGGUAUCUACUACAUAUUCGAGAUGAAAGGAAGAAAUGGAAAGAAGGCAAGAAUGUCUCAAGGGAUAGCCUCUACAAGUUGCAUCAAUCGAGAAGUCAUCAAUGACAUUGUCAUUGAUUUCCCACAAGAGUGUGACAAUAUGGUGGCACUCCCCUUCCUGUUCCCCAUGAACCCUAUGUUUAGUAAAGAUAAUAAAUAAUUAGUUAGGGUUGAAUUUUUUGAAAACCUUAGUGUAAGAAAUCAAUUAUGAAGUCUCAUAGGCACUAAACAAUGUAAGAUAAUAGUUAUUUUGUGCCUAUGGUGCUUCACAAUUAUUUUCUUACAUUUAGGAAGGUUUUUAAAACUCCAAUCUAACUAAUUAUGCACUACCUUCACUAAACAUGGGGUUCAUGAGAGAACCAGGCGGGGAAAUACCAACCAAACUGCUGUACUCUUAUAUGAAAUUAAUGAUAAAGGGUGUGUCAUCAAUGACUUCUCCAUUGUUGCCGCUUGUAGAGGCCAUCCCUUGAGACACUCUUUUCUUCUUUCCUGUUCUUCCUUCCAUCUCGAAUAUGUAGCACACUUCCAUACCUAACCUCACAAAUGGAUUUGAUUUCAAAGAAACGUGAAACUCAUUCAUCACCAAAUUUGUUAUGGUGAAUUUGUUGUUGUCUUCCCAAAAUAAGUAAUCAUUCUUCUUUACAAUUACUUGUAUGGGGUUUUCCUUAAUGAGAUCAUAUUUUGAAGUUAUUUCUUAUAGGUGUAAUUUUAGGGAUUUUCUCAAUCUUUUAUGUCGGUAAAUUUAUCAUUUUAAUUUAUGAAUUUAAUUUUAAUAUAUGUUUAUCUUUAUCUUUACAAUAAUAAAAAGAAAAAUGCAAAUUUUUUCCA